AAAAAGAUAUCUUAGAGCAACCAAAUAAAUACCCAACUGGAAAAGCUUCUUUUUCUUUAUCCUUUCUUAUUGGUAAUAUUGAUGCCUCUAUUGUUAUUAGAUUGAAAGAAAACAAAAACAGGGCUUACUUUAGGCAGAAGAUGCGGAGAACGACGGGACUUUUCCUCCAGGCAAGUGACUGUCGAUGGGCAGGAAAAAGCAAAACUCUGACCUUGUCCUAUAACCAGCACGGGAGAGAGAGUGACACUCCAUCCCAGAUUGACACUUGGCUGAAAUAUUUUGUCUUGUGAAAGAUAAAAAUGCCAUGUGGUAGUUGAAACCAAAGGCCCCGAAUGCUUUCUACUUCCAAUGAGUCUCUUCGUACAGCAGGAAGAAGAGGGGCCGUGCUCUAGCAGGAAGGUCACCAAGGA
rnacentral:lncRNA from 1 species